CCUACGGGAGGCAGCAGUGGGGAAUAUUGCGCAAUGGAGGAAACUCUGACGCAGUGACGCCGCGUGCAGGAAGAAGGUUUUCGGAUUGUAAACUGCUUUAGACAGGGAAGAAAAAGGACAGUACCUGUAGAAUAAGCUCCGGCUAACUACGUGCCAGCAGCCGCGGUAAU
rnacentral:rRNA from 1 species